rnacentral:rRNA from 1 species
GACGAACGCUGGCGGCGUGCCUAAUACAUGCAAGUCGAACGCUUCUUUCCUCCCGAGUGCUUGCACUCAAUUGGAAAGAGGAGUGGCGGACGGGUGAGUAACACGUGGGUAACCUACCCAUCAGAGGGGGAUAACACUUGGAAACAGGUGCUAAUACCGCAUAACAGUUUAUGCCGCAUGGCAUAAGAGUGAAAGGCGCUUUCGGGUGUCGUUGAUGGAUGGACCCGCGGUGCAUUAGCUAGUUGGUGAGGUAACGGCUCACCAAGGCCACGAUGCAUAGCCGACCUGAGAGGGUGAUCGGCCACACUGGGACUGAGACACGGCCCAGACUCCUACGGGAGGCAGCAGUAGGGAAUCUUCGGCAAUGGACGAAAGUCUGACCGAGCAACGCCGCGUGAGUGAAGAAGGUUUUCGGAGCGUAAAACUCUGUUGUUAGAGAAGAACAAGGACGUUAGUAACUGAACGUCCCCUGACGGUAUCUAACCAGAAAGCCACGGCUAACUACGUG